rnacentral:rRNA from 1 species
UGGGGAAUUUUGGACAAUGGGGGAAACCCUGAUCCAGCCAUCCCGCGUGUGCGAUGAAGGCCUUCGGGUUGCAAAGCACUUUUGGCAGGAAAGAAACGUCGCGGGUUAAUACCCCGCGAAACUGACGGUACCUGCAGAAUAAGCACCGGCUAACUACGUGCCAGCAGCCGCGGUAAUACGUAGGGUGCAAGCGUUAAUCGGAAUUACUGGGCGUAAAGCGUGCGCAGGCGGUUCGGAAAGAAAGAUGUGAAAUCCCAGAGCUUAACUUUGGAACUGCAUUUUUAACUACCGGGCUAGAGUGUGUCAGAGGGAGGUGGAAUUCCGCGUGUAGCAGUGAAAUGCGUAGAUAUGCGGAGGAACACCGAUGGCGAAGGCAGCCUCCUGGGAUAACACUGACGCUCAUGCACGAAAGCGUGGGGAGCAAACAGGAUUAGAUACCCUGGUAGUCCACGCCCUAAACGAUGUCAACUAGCUGUUGGGGGCCUUCGGGCCUUGGUAGCGCAGCUAACGCGUGAAGUUGACCGCCUGGGGAGUACGGUCGCAAGAUUAAAACUCAAAUGAA